rnacentral:lncRNA from 1 species
CCGACAGUGGCUCUCUCUAUUGACCAGGCUGGCCCGGGCAGUGGAGCAGAAACAAUGAGCCCCGGCAUCACAGCAGCUGGACACGGUCCCUGACGAACUCCUGCUCCUGGAGGGUCCACAGUGGAGUGAGCAGCUGUAUUAACUGAUGUUCCCUGGAGAAACAACCAAAGGAGAGAGAUCUGGAGAGAUUUGUUGUCAGGAAACUGCCGUGGAAGAUGUGGACGGGGAGCGUCUUGUAUGCAGGGUUUCCAGAAGCGGAAGCUGCAGGUGGGGUGACUGCCCGUCACCCAACACGGCCACCAAGGAGAGGAGAUGCGUGAGGCUGAGGUGACUCCCCGGUCACACUUCAGAUGGCCUUUGGACGUCACAGAGCGCUCAGAUUCCCGGCGGUGGUUUGUGCUCGGAACAGAAUGGCCGGAUGUGCGGAGGACACGCUCCCCCACUUGAAGCUCACUUAGGGUGCUCUCAAAGCAGAUGCCUGCCUCAAGUGGACCUUUGGACUUUCCCUUGACUCAUGCGGGCUUCCUCCCCCACCCCUGGGCCUGUCCCAGCUGCCUCGGUGCCAGGACAUUCUGGCUCUUCACACACAGAAGCCAAGAGGGAUGGUUCAAGGGGACUCAGAAGGCAGUCGGGCCUGAACUUGACCCUGCAGGUCUGGAGGCUGAGACUGGAGAGCCCCAUCACCCACUGCCAACACCCAGAGGCCUCUGGGAAGGCCAAAUUAGGCCUGGGUGGGGUGCUGGCCUGGAGUGGUGGCCGUGACCCUAAGCAAGUGCUUGGGACUAUAUCUGACUCAGAGGGCAGCGGGGUUAAGCCAGGAGAAGUCAGAACCAAUGGAGAGGAAGACAAAAUAUGCAGAGGCAGUGUGGAUUCCAAAGAUCACAGGGAGAAUCGAGGAGGAGGCAGGGCCCAGAGCCAGGGGGAGGGGAGGAGGGCAGAUUUGAAGGCCCUCCUUGACCCAGGACAAUGGGGGCUCUCUGGUUUUGGAGAAAACAGGAUUUGAAGGUACCAAGGCAAAUAUGCAAAUGAAUGCAGAGCAAGAGUUGGGCGUGGCUGCAGCCCGAGGAUUUCUGCAGGCUCUGCAGGCAGGGGAAGUAGGCUUCCCUAUUGCGGUUGCAAGGCUGGCUCCCUUCUGUUGGCUCCAUUGAGCCUUUCUGCUGACUCAGACAGAGGACAGGAGAUAGCUGUGUCACCUGAGUGC